UCUAGCUCAAAGACAAUUUUAUCUACAUUGUGUCUUUGAUGGCAAGCAUUUUGAAGCAAAAAGUCUACUUCUCUGCAGCAAUAGAAGGCACAUAAGUCAGCAGCAUGGAGACAUUAGUGAACAGAAUGAAGUACAUUUAUGUUCCAGAAGCUGUGGGUCCUCUCUUGCAACCUGUCCAUAAGAGUUCAGUAAUUAAUAUAAGACAGUAACUGUCUAGAAGUUGAGAGGAAGAUUCUGUCAACUGUAAAUGCAGGUACUGAGUGAUGCAAUACCGCCAAAAUACCUCUAUGUUUAAAUCAGUCUUGAUUUACACUUUCUAAGAGUUUAUAUCUUCUGAAUUUUAUGCUGCUAGUUUGAAAAUAAGAAGGAAAAGGUAGUAAAA